rnacentral:rRNA from 2 species
UACGUAGGGUGCAAGCGUUAAUCGGAAUUAUUGGGCGUAAAGGGUGCGCAGGCGGAUGUAUAAGUCAGAUGUGAAAUCCCCGGGCUUAACCUGGGAAUUGCGUUUGAAACUAUAUGACUAGAGUGUGAUAGAGGGGAGUGGAAUUCCAUGUGUAGCAGUGAAAUGCGUAGAGAUGUGGAAGAACACCGAUGGCGAAGGCAGCUCCCUGGAUUAACACUGACGCUCAUGCACGAAAGCGUGGGGAGCAAACAGG